AGACAAACUGUAGUUAACUAGU
rnacentral:snRNA from 1 species